rnacentral:sRNA from 1 species
AACGCACCUUGCGCCUUCUGGCUAUUCCAGAGGGCAUGCCUGUUUGAGUAUCAUGAACACCUCAACUCUCAUGGUUUUGCCGUGAUGAGCUUGGAUUUUGGAGGUCUUGCUGGCCCGUGGUCAGCUCCUCUCAAACGAAUCAGCUUGCCAGUGUUUGGUGGCAUCACAGGUGUGAUAACUAUCUACGCUUGUGGCUUCCACCAGGUAACCUUCAGCAAUGGAGGUUCGCUGGAGCUCACAAAUGUCUCUCCUCAGCGAGGACAGCUUCUUGAAUGUUUGAUCUCAAAUCAGGUAGGGCUACCCGCUGAACUUAA